rnacentral:rRNA from 1 species
UACAGAGGUCUCAAGCGUUGUUCGGAUUCAUUGGGCGUAAAGGGUGCGUAGGCGGCGCGGUAAGUCAGUGGUGAAAUCUCUGGGCUUAACCCGGAAACUGCCAUUGAUACUAUUUGUCUUGAAUAUUCUGGAGGUAAGCGGAAUAUGUCAUGUAGCGGUGAAAUGCUUAGAUAUGACAUAGAACACCAAUUGCGAAGGCAGCUUACUACGGAACUAUUGACACUGAGGCUCGAAAGCGUGGGGAUCAAACAGG